AACGCACAUUGCGCUCCCUGGUAUUCCUAGGAGCAUGCCUGUCUGAGCGUCAGUACACACCCUCCUUUCGGAUUUUGUGCCGAUCGGGUCCUGAGGUGGGCGGCCCUAAACCCGUCGCCCCCCUCUAAAGUGGAAAGCCAGCGGCCCGCCUGCCCAUGAAAGACGUAGUAAACUCUGCCUCGUCCUCGAAAGGGUCACGGUUACGGGCUCGCCUCAAGCACUAUUCUCUUAGGCUUGACCUCAGAUCAGACAAGAAUACCCGCUGAACUUAA
rnacentral:misc_RNA from 1 species